AACAAAGGGGGUAUGAUUGAUAAAGGGGCAAGAAACAAGGUUCAGAAAACCGGACCGGUCAUCAAACCGCUCUAGUCAUUGGUUCACUGGUUCAUUGGUCCAACCGGUCCAACCAAUGGUUCAACCGAAAAAAUUGUUUUAGAAUAGAAUAAUAAAUAAAUUAUAAAUAAACAUCCUAAAAUAUAACUCAACCUAUUUUUUGUCUCAUAACAACUAUGUCAUUCAGCCAAGAAUAUAUCUUUCAUCUCUUUCCUAAUGUAAAGAAUUAAAAAAGAUCAAACAAAUUGAACAAACCUUGUAAUACUAAUGGUGAAUCCAUCUCCUUAAUAUAGGAAUUAAUCACAUAAAUACAUUAAUAUUACAAAAUAUACUAAUAUACUUGACAAAUAGGUAAGACAUGAUAUAACAGUGCCUUUCGAUCGAUUUUAGAAUACGUCAAGCAACAUGUAGAGAUGAAUUAAUAGCAUAAAAAUAGAUAAGAAGACAACACUGAAGGUUCAAAUAAUCAUUGAAUAUAAUGCAAAGCUGCUUAUUCAUUGAGAUCUCACAUGAUACAAACAACUUUCAUGACUUAAGUUUGCACAUUUUCAAUAAACAAUUGUAACCAAUGUUAUUUUUUAUUUUACUAUGAUAUGUACAAAUCACUUAUAGCACAAAAGAAUUAGUAAAGAAUUAAAAAAAUAAAUAAAUUCACUAUUUAUAUUGAAUUAGCUAGAGGCAGAUGCAUGUUUACCAAGUGAUGCAGGAUUGUUUAUCAUUCCACUGGUAAUUGAAUAUGUGCCUCCGAAGGAGAACUUAAAUUCAGGGAACUUUGAUGAGUUCAAAUCUAGCAGCAUAUAAUACAAUCCAUAGUUGAAGAGUUUAGCAAUGAAAAUGUACAAAAUUUCAAUAAACAUUAUCACAAAUUUCAGAUUCAAAACACAAAUCAAUAAUCAAGUAAUCAGAGAUAUUCAAAAUCACAAAUCACUACUUCAGACUUCAGAGACAUUCAAAUUCAAUAAUCCAAGUACUUCAGAGACAUUCAAAUUCUGCCUACAGCAUUCAACAAUAUACAAAUUUCCACCAUUAGCAACAAAGUUUUUAACCCAAUUUUAACAAGCUCAGCACAAUGAUUAACAACAAAAAAAAGCCCUAAAUGAGGUAAUGAGCACAAAAUCAAGAAAC